GGGUUGUGAGGUUAAGCGACUAAGCGUACACGGUGGAUGCCCUGGCAGUCAGAGGCGAUGAAGGACGUGCUAAUCUGCGAAAAGCGUCGGUAAGGUGAUAUGAACCGUUAUAACCGGCGAUGUCCGAAUGGGGAAACCCAGUGCAAUUCGUUGCACUAUCGUUAACUGAAUACAUAGGUUAACGAGGCGAACCGGGGGAACUGAAACAUCUAAGUACCCCGAGGAAAAGAAAUCAACCGAGAUUCCCCCAGUAGCGGCGAGCGAACGGGGAGCAGCCCAGAGUCUGAAUCAGCUUGUGUGUUAGUGGAACGGUCUGGAAAGUCCGACGGUACAGGGUGAUAGUCCCGUACACCAAAAUGCACAGGUUGUGAACUCGAAGAGUAGGGCGGGACACGUGGUAUCCUGUCUGAAUAUGGGGGGACCAUCCUCCAAGGCUAAAUACUCCUGACUGACCGAUAGUGAACCAGUACCGUGAGGGAAAGGCGAAAAGAACCCCGGCGAGGGGAGUGAAAAAGAACCUGAAACCGUGUACGUACAAGCAGUGGGAGCACCUUCGGGUGUGACUGCGUACCUUUUGUAUAAUGGGUCAGCGACUUAUAUUCUGUAGCAAGGUUAACCGUAUAGGGGAGCCGCAGGGAAACCGAGUCUUAACUGGGCGUUAAGUUGCAGGGUAUAGACCCGAAACCCGGUGAUCUAGCCAUGGGCAGGUUGAAGGUUGGGUAACACUAACUGGAGGACCGAACCGACUAAUGUUGAAAAAUUAGCGGAUGACUUGUGGCUGGGGGUGAAAGGCCAAUCAAACCGGGAGAUAGCUGGUUCUCCCCGAAAGCUAUUUAGGUAGCGCCUCGUGAAUUCAUCUUCGGGGGUAGAGCACUGUUUCGGCUAGGGGGUCAUCCCGACUUACCAACCCGAUGCAAACUACGAAUACCGAAGAAUGUUAUCACGGGAGACACACGGCGGGUGCUAACGUCCGUCGUGAAGAGGGAAACAACCCAGACCGCCAGCUAAGGUCCCAAAGUCAUGGUUAAGUGGGAAACGAUGUGGGAAGGCACAGACAGCCAGGAUGUUGGCUUAGAAGCAGCCAUCAUUUAAAGAAAGCGUAAUAGCUCACUGGUCGAGUCGGCCUGCGCGGAAGAUGUAACGGGGCUAAACCAUGCACCGAAGCUGCGGCAGCGACACUAUGUGUUGUUGGGUAGGGGAGCGUUCUGUAAGCCUGCGAAGGUGUGCUGUGAGGCAUGCUGGAGGUAUCAGAAGUGCGAAUGCUGACAUAAGUAACGAUAAAGCGGGUGAAAAGCCCGCUCGCCGGAAGACCAAGGGUUCCUGUCCAACGUUAAUCGGGGCAGGGUGAGUCGACCCCUAAGGCGAGGCCGAAAGGCGUAGUCGAUGGGAAACAGGUUAAUAUUCCUGUACUUGGUGUUACUGCGAAGGGGGGACGGAGAAGGCUAUGUUAGCCGGGCGACGGUUGUCCCGGUUUAAGCAUGUAGGCUGGUUAUCCAGGCAAAUCCGGAUAAUCAAGGCUGAGGUGUGAUGACGAGGCACUACGGUGCUGAAGUAACAAAUGCCCUGCUUCCAGGAAAAGCCUCUAAGCAUCAGGUAACAUUAAAUCGUACCCCAAACCGACACAGGUGGUCAGGUAGAGAAUACCAAGGCGCUUGAGAGAACUCGGGUGAAGGAACUAGGCAAAAUGGUGCCGUAACUUCGGGAGAAGGCACGCUGGUGUGUAGGUGAAGUCCCUGCGGAUGGAGCUGAGACCAGUCGAAGAUACCAGCUGGCUGCAACUGUUUAUUAAAAACACAGCACUGUGCAAACACGAAAGUGGACGUAUACGGUGUGACGCCUGCCCGGUGCCGGAAGGUUAAUUGAUGGGGUUAUCCGUAAGGAGAAGCUCUUGAUCGAAGCCCCGGUAAACGGCGGCCGUAACUAUAACGGUCCUAAGGUAGCGAAAUUCCUUGUCGGGUAAGUUCCGACCUGCACGAAUGGCGUAAUGAUGGCCAGGCUGUCUCCACCCGAGACUCAGUGAAAUUGAACUCGCUGUGAAGAUGCAGUGUACCCGCGGCAAGACGGAAAGACCCCGUGAACCUUUACUAUAGCUUGACACUGAACAUUGAGCCUUGAUGUGUAGGAUAGGUGGGAGGCUUUGAAGCGUGGACGCCAGUCUGCGUGGAGCCAACCUUGAAAUACCACCCUUUAAUGUUUGAUGUUCUAACGUUGGCCCCUGACCGGGGUUGCGGACAGUGUCUGGUGGGUAGUUUGACUGGGGCGGUCUCCUCCCAAAGCGUAACGGAGGAGCACGAAGGUUAGCUAAUCCUGGUCGGACAUCAGGAGGUUAGUGCAAUGGCAUAAGCUAGCUUGACUGCGAGCGUGACGGCGCGAGCAGGUGCGAAAGCAGGUCAUAGUGAUCCGGUGGUUCUGAAUGGAAGGGCCAUCGCUCAACGGAUAAAAGGUACUCCGGGGAUAACAGGCUGAUACCGCCCAAGAGUUCAUAUCGACGGCGGUGUUUGGCACCUCGAUGUCGGCUCAUCACAUCCUGGGGCUGAAGUAGGUCCCAAGGGUAUGGCUGUUCGCCAUUUAAAGUGGUACGCGAGCUGGGUUUAGAACGUCGUGAGACAGUUCGGUCCCUAUCUGCCGUGGGCGCUGGAGAAUUGAGGGGGGCUGCUCCUAGUACGAGAGGACCGGAGUGGACGCAUCACUGGUGUUCGGGUUGUCAUGCCAAUGGCACUGCCCGGUAGCUAAAUGCGGAAGAGAUAAGUGCUGAAAGCAUCUAAGCACGAAACUUGCCCCGAGAUGAGUUCUCCCUGAGACUUUAAGUCUCCUGAAGGAACGUUGAAGACGACGACGUUGAUAGGCCGGGUGUGUAAGCGCAGCGAUGCGUUGAGCUAACCGGUACUAAUGAACCGUGAGGCUUAACCUUACAACGCCGAAG
rnacentral:rRNA from 1 species